GAUGAACGCUGGCGGCGUGCCUAAUACAUGCAAGUCGAGCGAACAGACGAGGAGCUUGCUCCUCUGACGUUAGCGGCGGACGGGUGAGUAACACGUGGAUAACCUACCUAUAAGACUGGGAUAACUUCGGGAAACCGGAGCUAAUACCGGAUAAUAUAUUGAACCGCAUGGUUCAAUAGUGAAAGACGGUUUUGCUGUCACUUAUAGAUGGAUCCGCGCCGCAUUAGCUAGUUGGUAAGGUAACGGCUUACCAAGGCGACGAUGCGUAGCCGACCUGAGAGGGUGAUCGGCCACACUGGAACUGAGACACGGUCCAGACUCCUACGGGAGGCAGCAGUAGGGAAUCUUCCGCAAAGGGCGAAAGCCUGACGGAGCAACGCCGCGUGAGUGAUGAAGGUCUUCGGAUCGUAAAAUUCUGUUAUUAGGGAAGAACAAAUGUGUAAGUAACUAUGCACGUCUUGACGGUACCUAAUCAGAAAGCCACGGCUAACUACGUG
rnacentral:rRNA from 1 species